GUGUGUGUUCUACGUCGAUCAGAAGCUCCCAAAGGAGCCAAACCCUAGCUCAAGCUUAUUUGCUCAAAUUGAAAGGGGAAUUCAACCCAAAUCUAAUGUAUGUACCCGAAUUCUUAGUCGUCUAGCCCUAAAGAUCACUUGAAUAGGAACCACACUAGCAUGGACCAAGCAUGGAAGGCUAACGGGUCAAGAUGAGGCAAGCAAGCGGGUAUGAACACGGAUGCACAAGAUAUGUAGGUGCAUAUGAUCAGACGUAUGAAUAUAUGAAUGCACGAAGUAGGAUUUAUCGUCUAUGAAAAGAAUGGGACAGGAAUGAGAACGUCAGACUCUUGUAGAAUUGAAGCCGAACCUUGAAGCCUAACUCGGAACAAAGGAAUCCGAGAGGAUAGUCGAAUGAAUCAAAGU
rnacentral:lncRNA from 1 species